UUGAAGAUUAAGGAAAACCUUGUACAAGGGGCCAAGAUUGGCAAAGUGUAGAAAGCCUUGUUGAAUGGAACAGCUGAUAUCGAGGAAAACCUAAUUCUAGCAAAAGUAGCUAAUAUCCUAAGAAUGCUGAGCAAAGUCCUAAGAAUACACGGAAAUACUUUCCACUUUUUCAAGUAGAUGUCUGGUGGCAAUUAGACCAAUU
rnacentral:lncRNA from 1 species